GACGAACGCUGGCGGCGUGCUUAACACAUGCAAGUCGAACGGAAAGGCCCUGCUUUUGUUGGGUGCUCGAGUGGCGAACGGGUGAGUAACACGUGAGUAACCUGCCCUUGACUUUGGGAUAACUUCAGGAAACUGGGGCUAAUACCGGAUAGGAGCUCCUGCUGCAUGGUGGGGGUUGGAAAGUUUCGGCGGUUGGGGAUGGACUCGCGGCUUAUCAGCUUGUUGGUGGGGUAGUGGCUUACCAAGGCUUUGACGGGUAGCCGGCCUGAGAGGGUGACCGGCGACAUUGGGACUGAGAUACGGCGCAGACUCCUACGGGAGGCAGCAGGGGGGAAUAUUGCACAAUGGGCGGAAGCCUGAGGCAGCAACGCCGCGUGCGGGAUGACGGCCUUCGGGUUGUAAACAGCUUUCGCCUGUGACGAAGCGUGAGUGACGGUAAUGGGUAAAGAAGCACCGGCUAACUACGUG
rnacentral:rRNA from 1 species